GAUCAACUCCGGUUGAUCCUGCCGGCGGGCACCGCUAUGGGAGUUCGCUUAAGACAUGCGAGUCGAGAGGUGCAAGACCUCGGCGGACGGCUCAGUAACACGCGGAUAAUCUGCCCUCAGGUGGGGAAUACUCUCGGGAAACUGAGGCUAAUGCCCCAUAGAUCUGGGAUGCUGGAACGCUUCCAGGUCG
rnacentral:rRNA from 1 species